AACAUCGCCUCCUGCAAAAAUCAAUGUAUAGGAGGUCCUGCCUGCCCAGUGACAGCUUGUUAAACGGCCGCGGUAUUUUGACCGUGCUAAGGUAGCGCAAUCACUUGUCUUUUAAAUGAAGACCUGUAUGAAUGGUGGAACGAGGGCUUAACUGUCUCCCUUCUCCCGUCAAUGAAAUUGAUCUGCCCGUGCAGAAGCGGACAUGUACAUACAAGACGAGAAGACCCUUUGGAGCUUAUUGGGGCGACCGCGGGGGAAAAYAAAGCCCCCACGUAAAACCGAGAGAGACAUCUCUAAGCCACAGAACAUCUGACCAAAAGAUCCGGCCCACAAGCCGAUCAACGAACCAAGUUACCCUAGGGAUAACAGCGCAAUCCUUUCCAAGAGUUCAUAUCGACGAGRGGGUUUACGACCUCGAUGUUGGAUCAGGACAUCCUAAUGGUGCAGCCGCUAUUAAGGGUUCGUUUGUUCAACGAUUAAAGUCCUACGUGA
rnacentral:rRNA from 1 species